UACGGAGGGUGCGAGCGUUGUCCGGAAUCACUGGGCGUAAAGGGCGCGUAGGCGGCUCGGUAAGUAGGGGGUGAAAUCCUGCGGCUUAACCGCAGGGCUGCCUUCUAAACUGUCGAGCUUGAGCACGGUAGAGGCAGAUGGAAUUCCCGGUGUAGCGGUGGAAUGUCGUAGAUAUCUGGAGGAACACCGGUGGCGAAGGCGGCAUCCUGGACCGAGAUUGACGCUGAGGCGCGGAAAGCCAGGGGAGCAAACGGGG
rnacentral:rRNA from 1 species